UGGACUUGGUUACCUACCAACAGAUAUAUCCACCGGUAAUACCAUUAAUAAACGUUGACAAUUAUUACUAGUGGCCAAUGGUUAUUGGCAAGUUCUCCGACUUUAUGAAAUUAGAACAUGGUUUCCCUCUCCUGCAUUUUCGUUUUCCUCCAAAAGAACCCUCCCACAACUCCCAAUCUGAAACCCCCAGGUGGUGGCGUAACGGUGGACGCUUGUGGCUGGUGGCGAUGCAGCGGCGUGACGGUGGCAGUAACGGUGGUUCGAGGCAAGUUGCGCGACCUUGCUCCAAAUUUGCACGACGCAGUGGUGGUGCCAGCUUCACGGUGGUGGUGUGAGGCUUCAUGGUAGUGGCACGAGGGUGGCUUCGCGGUGGCGCGAAGGUGUUGUAAGGCUGCUUGUGAUUUGCAUGACGGUGGUGGCGUGAGCGCGAUGAUGAUGGCGCAAGGUUGGUGCGAAGGUGGCCACCGCGUCACGGUGGCUGCUAGUGGUGGAGGAUUCCUUGUUGCUGGUUGUCGGUGGCAGACACAUCACAAUGCUUGCUCGUGGUGGAGGAUUCAUGACUGUUGGGUGACGGUGGUCGCUGCAUAACGGUGGAGGUAUAGCAGAAGUAAGUAUGUCUUGAAUCGAUAUUGCCUAUUUGUUUUGGUACUGAAAUUGGUUUAAUGGAUUGCCAAUGAUGCUUGUUGCCAAUUUCACAUUGGUUUGUAAUAGAUCUGUUAUUGCAAUAAUGCUUGUUGUCAAAUUGAAAUUGGUUGAAUGGAUUGCCUUGACUUAAAUGUGUUUUAGUAGUAGUAGCUAUAAUUGCAAUCUAAACUUGUUUCUCAUGACUUUUUUUGUUGUCGAAGGUUUGUGCAUGCUACCACUUCGUCGAGGGAGAACUGUUAGUUGCCUCACAUACCAUCGAGGUAAGUUUUGAGUCAUUCUUUGUUUGUAUUUAAGUGCUCAAGGUCUAGGUUUCUAUUUAAUUGUCGCACUUGACCUUUUAGAUAUUGGGAUAGUAUAUAGAAAUUUAUCAAUAUCUAUUCAUAGAUAUUGGGCUAGUUGAUAGAAAUGGAGCUUCACAUUUUAGUGGAGUGACGAUGAGCCCAAAAGCAAAGUUAUGUGGUGAGGACAUUUCCAAAUCCAAAUUUUCUUUUUCCACCAAAUCAUCAAUAUGUUUGAUAAGGACAUAUUUUACCAUGAUUUCAGUAAUGAAUUAAGAGAAAAUGUCAACUCUUCCUUGGCCUUUUACCUUGUAAAUUGUAGUUUUCUCUUAGUUUGUUAAGUGGUUGCAUUUUAAGAUUUAAUGAAAGAUUUUGAUCACUAAUCCCUGCCUUUAGGUGCUUACAGUAGUUGGAAGAAACCUAUGUAUCAAAUGAAGGCACUGGAACCCAAAGAAAGCAAGAAAAACAGCAAAAAAAGUGAAUUCUGGAAUGUUGUCGCUGAGUUGCCGCCGGGCUACCGCUUGAGCUCUCUACUCUCUGGAAGCCUGUCGUUGAGCUGUCGCUGGGCUAUCGCCUGAGCUCUCUACUCUCUGGAAGGCUGCCGUUGGGCUACCGCCUGAGCGGUGGCGUCGCUGAUGUGGCAAAAUCUGAGUUAUUUAGGGCUGAAAAGUGAGGGCUUGGUAUCUUUUGCUACCCAGACGCAUUUUCUCUGCUUGGGAGCUCUUGGAGGCGAGCUAGGAGGACUGAGAACAAUCCAUCUUCUUCCUUGGAUUCUCUUCUUUCUUCCAUUUCCACCAUUGUUGUAGGCUUGAGCUCUCCAUUCAUGGAGAGCUAGUUUCAUUAUUGUUGGGGGAUUGUUGUAGCCACUGAACUUUAUUGUAAAUCACUU
rnacentral:lncRNA from 1 species